rnacentral:rRNA from 1 species
GACGAACGCUGGCGGCGUGCUUAACACAUGCAAGUCGAACGGAAAGGCCCUGCUUUUGUGGGGUGCUCGAGUGGCGAACGGGUGAGUAACACGUGAGUAACCUGCCCUUGACUUUGGGAUAACUUCAGGAAACUGGGGCUAAUACCGGAUAGGAGCUCCUGCUGCAUGGUGGGGGUUGGAAAGUUUCGGCGGUUGGGGAUGGACUCGCGGCGUAUCAGCUUGUUGGUGGGGUAGUGGCUUACCAAGGCUUUGACGGGUAGUCGGCCUUGGGGGGUGACCGGGCCACAUGGGGCCGGGGAUACGGCCCACACCCCUCCGGGGGGCAGGGGUGGGGAAUAUUGCCAAAGGGGCGGAACCCGGAUGCAGCACCCCCGCGUGCGGGAUGAGGGCCUUGGGGUUGAAAACCGCUUUCCCCUGUGACGAAGCGUGGGGGACGGAAAUGGGUAAAAAAGCCCCGGCUAACUACGG